CAAAGGCUUCGGCCGGUAAAGGAUGGGGAUGCGUCUGAUUAGCUUGCCGGCGGGGUAACGGCCCACCGGGGCGACGAUCAGUAGGGGUUCUGAGAGGAAGGUCCCCCACAUUGGAACUGAGACACGGUCCAAACUCCUACGGGAGGCAGCAGUGAGGAAUAUUGGUCAAUGGGCGCGAGCCUGAACCAGCCAAGUAGCGUGCAGGACGACGGCCCUAUGGGUUGUAAACUGCUUUUAUACGGGGAUAAAGUAUGCCACGUGUGGUUUAUUGCAGGUACCGUAUGAAUAAGGACCGGCUAAUUCCGUGCCAGCAGCCGCGGUAAUACGGAAGGUCCGGGCGUUAUCCGGAUUUAUUGGGUUUAAAGGGAGCGUAGGCCGGGUUUUAAGCGUGCCGUGAAAUGUCGGGGCUCAACCUUGACACUGCGGCGCGAACUGGAGUCCUUGAGUGCGCGGAACGUAUGCGGAAUUCGUGGUGUAGCGGUGAAAUGCUUAGAUAUCACGAAGAACCCCGAUUGCGAAGGCAGCAUACGGCAGCGCUACUGACGCUGAAGCUCGAAGGCGCGGGUAUCGACCAGGAUUAGAUACCCUGGUAGUCCGCGCGGUAAACGAUGGAUGCCCGCUGUUGGCGAUAUAUUGUCA
rnacentral:rRNA from 1 species